rnacentral:rRNA from 1 species
UGGGGAAUUUCGGACAAUGGGCGAAAGCCUGAUCCAGCCAUGCCGCGUGCGGGAAGAAGGCCUUCGGGUUGUAAACCGCUUUUGUCAGGGAAGAAAUCCUUUGGGCCAAUACCCCAGGGGGAUGACGAUACCUGAAGAAUAAGCACCGGCUAACUACGUGCCAGCAGCCGCGGUAAUACGUAGGGUGCGAGCGUUAAUCGGAAUUACUGGGCGUAAAGCGUGCGCAGGCGGUUGUACAAGACAGGUGUGAAAUCCCCGGGCUUAACCUGGGAACUGCACUUGUGACUGUACGACUUGAGUACGGCAGAGGGGGAUGGAAUUCCGCGUGUAGCAGUGAAAUGCGUAGAUAUGCGGAGGAACACCGAUGGCGAAGGCAGUCCCCUGGGCCUGUACUGACGCUCAUGCACGAAAGCGUGGGGAGCAAACAG